AUUGAACGCUAGCGGGAUGCCUUACACAUGCAAGUCGAACGGCAGCACGGACUUCGGUCUGGUGGCGAGCGGCGAACGGGUGAGUAAUGUAUCGGAACGUGCCCAGUAGCGGGGGAUAACUACUCGAAAGAGUAGCUAAUACCGCAUACGCCCUACGGGGGAAAGGGGGGGAUCGCAAGACCUCUCACUAUUGGAGCGGCCGAUAUCGGAUUAGCUAGUUGGUGGGGUAAAGGCCCACCAAGGCUACGAUCCGUAGCUGGUUUGAGAGGACGACCAGCCACACUGGGACUGAGACACGGCCCAGACUCCUACGGGAGGCAGCAGUGGGGAAUUUUGGACAAUGGGGGCAACCCUGAUCCAGCCAUCCCGCGUGUGCGAUGAAGGCCUUCGGGUUGUAAAGCACUUUUGGCAGGAAAGAAAUCGCAUGGGUUAAUACCCUGUGUGGAUGACGGUACCUGCAGAAUAAGCACCGGCUAACUACGUGCCAGCCGCCGCCGUAA
rnacentral:rRNA from 1 species